GCUGCCGUUGUGACGUGAUGGUAUAAGAGUAUCCGCUUUCCGGUCUGUCGUCGCAUCUGCCAUUCUUUCACUGUCUGCACGCCGUGGAAGACGUAGUCCUCGCUGAGCCGCGAGCUACGAUUUCUGAAGUUUACUUCUAAACUUCAGGAAAAUGCGCGCUAAGUGGAGGAAGAAGCGUAUGCGCAGGCUAAAGCGCAAGAGGAGGAAGAUGAGGGCGAGGUCCAAGUAGACUGCUCAUCAUUCUGUCUUCAAAAUUCUUUCGGCUCACUUCCAAAAUACUGGCAGCUCCACUUGUGGACAAGAACACUUCCCAUUUUUAAAUAAACAAAAUACUUAAAAUUA